GACGAACGCUGGCGGCGUGCUUAACACAUGCAAGUCGAGCGGUAAGGCCCUUUCGGGGGUACCCGAGCGGCGAACGGGUGAGUAACACGUGGGUGACCUGCCCUCAGCUCUGGGAUAAGCCUGGGAAACCGGGUCUAAUACUGGAUAUGACUCCAUGACGCAUGUUGUGGGGUGGAAAGCCUUGUGCGGCUGAGGAUGGGCCCGCGGCCUAUCAGCUUGUUGGUGGGGUGAUGGCCUACCAAGGCGACGACGGGUAGCCGGCCUGAGAGGGCGACCGGCCACACUGGGGACUGAGACACGGCCCAGGCUCCUACGGGAGGCAGCAGUGGGGGAAUCUUGCGCAAUGGGCGAAAGCCUGACGCAGCGACGCCGCGUGA
rnacentral:rRNA from 1 species